rnacentral:rRNA from 1 species
ACACGGAGGGCGCAAGCGUUGCUCGGAAUCACUGGGCGUAAAGCGGGUGUAGGCGGUCUAGCAAGUCAGAUGUGAAAGCCCACGGCUCAACCGUGGAAGUGCAUCUGAAACUGCUAGACUUGAGUGCCGGAGAGGGAAGUGGAAUUCCUGGUGUAGGGGUGAAAUCCGUAGAUAUCAGGAGGAACACCGGUGGCGAAGGCGACUUCCUGGACGGCCACUGACGCUGAGACCCGAAAGCGUGGGGAGCAAACCGGAUUAGAAACCCCAGUAGUCC